GGAUAAUAAUAGUCGUCGCAGGAUAAUAAUGGUAUAUUUGGUAAUGCUAUAAGAAUGAUGACCUACUUAUAUGAUACAAAAUUACAAUUCUUAUGUACAUCCCUGACAUGGCCUCGACAACACUCGCUUAAGUUAGGUACACACACACACACACACACACACACACACACACACACACACACACACACACAUACAUACACGUCUGGCACACCGCACAUACACAUACACGCAUACAUAAUAGCUGCAUAUUUAUUUUUAUUUAACAUUACUAUUAUUUAUAUUACCUUUAAACGGUGCGCACGCAGACCUAUGACGAACAUUCUAUCGUCGAUACGUUCAUAAUUUUUCGUGCAAUAAAUUAAAUGAUAAACAAUUCUACCAUUAUCAUUAUUUUAUGUGAUUUUUUAACGCUUCCUGUUUCAUCUCCUCACUUUAUUUCUUUACUAUUUUGGUCUCACUAUAAAUUUAGCUUCCUUUGAUAUAUAUAAAAAAACACUAAUUUUUUCCCUAGCUCACGAAAAUUACUUUAUAUUCCUACACACAAGUUCUCGUAAUACUCAGCCUAAGUAGCGAUAGUAGUGGCAAUAGUUGUAGUAAUAAUAGUAGAAGUAGUAGUAGUAGUAGUAGCGCUGCAAAGACUACGCGAAACAGCAAGUCUAAUGUUGCCUCGAUCAGCGGCCUUGAGGAAGAAUGGCUGACUCAAUGAAAAGGUGUGAAGGGAAAAAAAUGCCGUAAAAAUGAAGAGAAAAAAUCUUGAAUAUGAAGAAUGUGAAAAGGAACGUAAAAGGAAAGUCAGGUUGAGUGAAAAUGAACAAAUUGGGGAAAUCUUGAAUAUGAAGAAUGUGAAAAGGAACAUAAAAGGAAAGUCAGGUUGAGUGAAAAUGAACAAAUUGGGGAAAUCUUGAAUAUGAAGAAUGUGAAAAGGAACAUAAAAGGAAAGUCAGGUUGAGUGAAAAUGAACAAAUUGGGGAAAUCUUGAAUAUGAAGAAUGUGAAAAGGAACAUAAAAGGAAAGUCAGGUUGAGUGAAAAUGAACAAAUUGGGGAAAUCUUGAAUAUGAAGAAUGUGAAAAGGAACAUAAAAGGAAAGUCAGGUUGAGUGAAAAUGAACAAAUUGGGGAAAUCUUGAAUAUGAAGAAUGUGAAAAGGAACAUAAAAGGAAAGUCAGGUUGAGUGAAAAUGAACAAAUUGGGAUAAUCUUGAAUAUGAAGAAUGUGAAAAGGAACAUAAAAGGAAAGUCAGGUUGAGUGAAAAUGAACAAAUUGGGGAAAUCUUGAAUAUGAAGAAUGUGAAAAGGAACAUAAAAGGAAAGUCAGGUUGAGUGAAAAUGAACAAAUUGGGGAAAUCUUGAAUAUGAAGAAUGUGAAAAGGAACAUAAAAGGAAAGUCAGGUUGAGUGAAAAUGAACAAAUUGGGGAAAUCUUGAAUAUGAAGAAUGUGAAAAGGAACAUAAAAGGAAAGUCAGGUUGAGUGAAAAUGAACAAAUUGGGGAAAUCUUGAAUAUGAAGAAUGUGAAAAGGAACAUAAAAGGAAAGUCAGGUUGAGUGAAAAUGAACAAAUUGUGAAGUCUUGAAUAUUGAAGAAGUUGAAAAAGAAUGUGGAAAACGAAACCAAGACGAAAAAGAUGAGCAGAGUGAGCACAUACACACUAUAUAGGAAGUCUUGUAUGAAAAAAAGGGUUGACUGUUACAAAAAAAAAAAGUAAAAUAAAGAAAUAUAAAUCAAUUGCACUAGAACGUAACCAGACUGAGACUUUCCAAAACAAUAACAACCUUCUGAAUGGUGGACUGUUAUAAAAAGUAAAAUAAAGAAAUAUAAAUCAAUUGCAGUAUAACAUAACCAGACCGAGACUUCUGAAUUCCUCCUCUCACGAAAAAAUAGAAGAUAGCAUUACAUCAGCCUUCAAUACGUAAUCUAUGCCCAAGUAACUACCAAGUAUUGCCUAACCUCGAUAAAGCCAUAAUACUUUCACAUGCUUCCUACUUUUGACAAUCAUAGUACUGGAUCCUCUUCUGUUACUUAUAAGCUUGAUGUUCUUACGUUUCUAGUCUCUCUAAUCUAAAGUUGCAUUCACGUUGCCUAGGAAUUUAUAGACACACAGUUACAAGCUUUUUUACCAGACGUUAGACAGAGAGUAGUAGUAGUAGUAGUAAUGUGUAGGUAGAUAAGUAGAAACAGCAGUAGUAGUAGUAAGUAGGUAGGUGGAUAAGUAGGGAUAGUAGUAGUAAUGAGUAGAUAGAUAAGUAGAAACAGUAUUAGUAUAAGUAGGUAGGUGGCUAAGUAGGGACAGUAGCAGUAGUAGUAGUAGUAGUAGUAGUAGUAGUAGUAGUAGUAGUAGUAGUAGUAGUAGUAGUAGUAGUAGUAGUAGUAGAAGACAGACCUAAUAAAUUUCAAUGCUAUAAUAGCGUUUUGAGGCACAAUUGUCACAGCAGACGUUUUACAGCCUGUCCACACACACACACACACACACACACACACACACACACACUGGCAAGACUCGUACGUAAAGAUAAAACAAGUAGUAGUAUAUAAACAUCAGGCAGUCUUCAUAAUAAUGCUAGAAACACGCACAAUGUCCUCUUCUUCUCUUCCGUUUUCGUUUCCUCGCCUUAACGUGAUAAAUAACUGGUAGCAUAAUAGCGCGGUGUUGGUAUUCACAUAUCUACAGUAUAACACAUUUUUUAUAUCACUUAAUUUACUUAUCUCCAUAUAAAAAAAUCACAUACGUAUAAAAGCCAUAACAAAGACUUCACGCACUCACGUUUUCUUUCUUCGUCUUGACACUUCGAUGCUCAGACGAAGAUUCAUUCACUUCGUUCAGUUUUUAUUCAAUUUAUCUUCUUAUAGAAUCACAUACGUAUAAACUCCAUAACAAAGACUUUAAAACCGCUUCUUUCUUCGUCCUAACACAAGCAGGACAGAAUACAAACUUCGGUACUCUGACGUUCGAAGACUUAUUCAGUUCCUUCUACAACUCCUAGAUGACGCACCUUCGACCUCUCCCUCUCACAAGUAUUGCUGAGUAUACACAAGUGACUGACUGACUGAAGGACUGGGUGGGUAAAGAAUAAGGCCGUGUCACACAAGCACAGAAUCCAGCACAGUAUUUCGAUUUUCUUCUACUAAAGGGGGUCGUAUUAUGAGACAUUAAGCCGCCCAAGAACACAUAUUUGACAAGGCUUUCGUAGGAGUUGUUGGCAUUUUCAGAGGUAGUUUUAUGACCCUGGCGGUAGUUUCAUCCUUCCUCUGUACCCUGAGCCUAAAAAAACACUCAUUAGAACCUGAUUGAUCCCCCUCUUUGACCUUUAGAUAUAGCUGAUGUGAGAAGGCAAAGUGUCUUGUAAUACGACCCAAGGAAUGGCAGAGCAGUAACCCCACGCACCUCUCGCCUUCUCUCACGGCGAUGUUUACCUCACUCAACGUUGCCAGAUGGUCCCACUCAGCCUCUUAUUUUUACCUAUUUACACCUCAAAAUCUGUCUCCUGGGUCCGAAUACCUAGAUUGAUUUAUAGUUAUCGUUACAUUCGUCAAUUUCUGAUGUCUUAUGGUGAUGGUUAAGUGUCAGAAGCCGGUAAAUAUGAUAUGAUAUGUGAUAAUCUGGCACCGUUGACCUCACUGCUUCACAAACCGCUUCGGUGAGGUAAACAACACCGAUACCAAGACCAAGACCUUUUAAUCUAUUGGUCCAGCAAGAGAUUAGGGAAAAAGAAGCAACGGGGAUACAUUUUACAACCAGAAUGAACCUUUUGGGAUAAUCGUAUAGUAUCUCUGCCCUCCUUUCCUUCCCUCAAUAUGAUUUUAACCUUACUGAAGCGUUACAAAUGGCUUAGGUGAGGUGUAUAAAGAGGCUAUUACACUGGGCAAAUGUUCCGUGGAUCUUCAGUCAAACCAUGAUUUCCGCUGGCGUGGUUCUCAUUUUUUUCUUGUUAUUGCUGAUGAUGAUGAUGGUGAGUAAUACCGUCGUCCUUCAGUGAUAUCUACCGAAGCUUUGGAAGAUCGUGGACACGUCAUAAAACUACGGAAAUAUAAGAACCACGCCAGCGGAAAUCAUGGUUUGGCUGAAGAUCCACGGAAAAUUUUCCCAGCGUAAUAGCCCUUUUAGACAGUGAAACAAAGGAAAUAGGCGUUGGGAGUGUACAUUUUUCUACCAGUAAUCGUCUUUUUCCAUGUCCAACGAACUUCCACCUUACAAAUUGCUUUCGUUAGGUGAAGGAGACCAAGAGACAAGGGAAAGAGGCGCAGAGGGAGGAGACAACCACCCAAAGACUCGUGCUGGCGGAGACGAUCAAGGUGUGCCAGAACUGUGAUCGUGUUACAUCGCCUUUAGGGAGUUCGUGGCGGGGAUGAGGAAAAGGAUAAUAAAGGGGACGUACAUAAAAGGAGAGGUUGUGAUUCGAGGCAGGUGAGGGCAGUGACAGGUGAGGCUACAAUUAGUGAGUGUUAGUUUGUUUGUUAGUUAAGUGAGUUUGUGGUAGGGAUGUCGAUAAUAAAGAUAAAGUAUAUUAAUUAAAAGGAAAGGAUGUGAUUCAAGGCAGGUAAGGGCAGUGACAGGUGAGGCUACAAUUAGUGAGUUAGUCAGUUAGUUUGUUAGUUGAGUUUGUGGUUUGUGGUAGGGAUGUGGAUAGUAAAGGUAAGUUAUAUUAAAUAGAAGGAAAGGUUGUGAUUCAAGGCAGGUGAGGGCAGUGUCAGGUGGGAUUUUAAGUAGUUAGUUAGUUAUGAUAGUUAGUGAGUUUGUGGCUAGUGGUGAAGACGAAAAUGAGGAAGAUAAUUGAGGGGAGUAUAUGAAGAGGAAAGGUUGUGAUGCAAGGCAGGUAAGGGCAGUGUCAGGUGAGGCUUUAAUGAGUCAGAUAGUUUGUUAGUGAGUUUGCUUGUUAGUUAGUGAGUUUGUGGUACAUGAAGAGGAUAAGUAAAAUAAUAGAGGGGAGAUACAGUAAGGAGAAAGGUGGUGAUUUAGGCAGGUAAGGGCAGUGUCAGGUAAAUCUCAGUUAGUUAGUUGGUGAGUGAGUGAGUGGUUCGUGGCAGAGAAGGAAAAAGAAAGAGGAAAAAAGAGGAAAGAAGAGGAUAAAUAAGGAGAGGUAGACAGAGAUAAAGGAAAGGUGAUUCAAGGCAGGUGAGGGCAGUGUCAGGUGGGAUUUUAAUUAGUUAGUUAGUUAAUUAUGGUAGUUAGUAAGAUGAGAUGAGGAAGAUAACAGAGGGGAGUAUAUGAAGGGGAAUGUCAAGGGAAGUUUUCAUAAAUAAAGUUAGUUAGUUUGUGGUUCAAGGUAAGGAUGAAGAUGAUAAAGCGAAGGUGUAUCAAGGGGAAGGUUGUGAUUCUAGCAGGUAAGUGAAAUGUCAGGUGAGUCUCAGUGGGUAACCUUUGUGAUUCUUGAGGUAAGUUGACGAUGAAGGUGAAGAGAAAUACUGUGAUUCUUGAGUCCACGCAGAUGAUGGUUACAGAGGAGGAGGAGGAGAAAAAGAAGGAAAUGGAGGAGGAUUGUGAUUCGUAAGUUAGCAAGAGAGAGAGAAAAAAAAAACUUGUAAUUCUUGAGUGUUGAAACAUUAAGAAAAGGAAGAAGAAAAAGAAGAAAGAAAAAAACCAGUCUACUUUCUACUACACACGAAAUGGAAAGAAUUAAAAAGAAAGAAAAAUGCGAAAUGUGAUAGAAAGAAAGGAAGGAAAAAGAAGAAGUAUAUAAAAAAGAAUGAAAAAAACGAAAGAAAAAGAAAAGCAAGAAGGCAAAGUAUAAAAAGGAAAGGAAAAAAGCAAAUUAUAAAAAAAGGAAGGAAAGAAAGAAAGGGAAGACAAAGUACAAAAAAAAAGAAUGAAAAGAAAACGAAGGAAAAAGAUAGAAAAGAAAGAAGGAAACGUAUAAAAAGGGGAGGAAAAAAAAGCAAAUUAUAAAAAAAGGAAGGAAAUAGAAAGAAAGGAAAGACAAGGAAAGACUUUAAGACUUGCACACGACGGGGAAACUAAAUAAUAAUAAUAAUAAUAAUAAUAAUAAUAAUAAUAAUGAUAAUAAUAACAAUAACAACAAUAAUUAUAUAUAUGUAAAGUACAACACCUGUGAUUCUCGAAGACUUGAUGUUUGAAGCCGACUCGAAGCGGCGACCGAAACACACACACACACACACACACACACACACACAAACACAAACACACACAAACACACAUACAAACCACCAUCAUCAUCAUCAUCAUUAUAAUUAUCACAAUCCCUCCAGCGAAUCUUCACAACAACCAGUGAAGAGGAAGAGGAGGAGGAGGAGGAAGACGAGGAAGAAGAGAAGGAAGAAGAAGAGCAUUAGCAAAGGAUGUCAGAUUUACCGUAACAUAACCGCUAUGGUAAUCUGUCUAUCUGUCUGUUCGGUUCCAUAGUAGAAGUAGUAGUAGUAGUAGUAGUAGUAGUAGUAGUAGUAGUAGUAGUAGUUGUUGUUGCUCUCCGCACGUUACAUCAUUCUAUCGUCAACAACAACGAUCCCUUUAGUUUACGACGCUAACAACAAGAAAAAGGAUCGUUCGUAACACCACAAGGUCAACAUUGGAACAUCGAAAGGAAUGAGGCGUUGGAUAUAUUUUGAUUCUCACCUUCUCUGUCUCUAUCUCUCUCUCUUCUUCCUGUCUUUCUUUCUCUCAUAUACACUCACUCACUUUCUCCUCUUUCCGUCUCUCUUAUCUCUAUUCUCUUCUUAUCCUCUUUCUCUCUGUCUGCCUGUUUCUUUAUCUCUAUUUUCUUUCUUAUCUUUCUUCUCUCAUAUACACUCUUAAUUCUCUUCUGCUCUCUCUCUUCCCCUCUCAUUCACUCUUUCCUUCUCUCUCUCUGUCUGUCUGCCUGUUUCUUUAUCUCUAUUUUCUUCCUUAUCUUUCUUCUCUCAUAUACACUCUUGUUCUCUUCUGCUCUCUCUUCUUCUCUCAUUUACUCUUUCCUUCUCUCUCUCUCUCUGUCUGUCUGUCUCUUAUCUCUCUCCUCUUCCCAUCUUUCUCUCUCACAUACCUUCUCAUUCUCUUCUC